rfam:Echinostoma caproni strain Egypt genome assembly, scaffold: ECPE_scaffold0016670
GGCCUCGUAGCUCAGCUGGUAGAGCGUGCGCUGUACGAAAGUGUAGGCGGCGUCCAUGCGUGGGUUCGGAUCCCACCGUGGCCA